GCGAAGUGAUGAUAGAAAUUCAUUUGUCUGUCAAUCCUCUGAUAUUUUUUGAUGUAUUUAUGAAUCCCGACAGGUUCUGAUCGU
rfam:Cicer arietinum chromosome Ca5, whole genome shotgun sequence.